GACAAAAGAAGAAGAGAUGAACAUUC
rnacentral:snRNA from 1 species